GGGGGGAAGAUUCACAUUGUUAUAGCUAGCAGUUUACAUAAACAGAAAAGAAUCCCCAAGAUUUAUAUUUAAUGCUAUCACAUAAAACAACACUGUCAUCAUAAAGUUGCAGCACAUGACCUGAAAUAUUUUCCAAAUAUGUAGUUGUUAGCAUACAUCUAUAUACUACAUUCUCCAACUUUUAGACAGGCAGGACAAAAGAACUAAAAAGAUUGCCUUCAGCUCGUAUACAUCUGCGCUAAAGGUGUGGGAAGAAAGUCCCUUUGUAACUGAAGGCAUCACACUGGGAGGGAAUCAACAUUCCCUAAUACAACACCACAACACUAUAAUCAUGAAGUUGUAGCAUAUGACUCGAAAUAUUUUCCAAAUAUGUAGUUGUUAGCGUACAUUAUACUACAUUCUCCAACUUUAGACAGGCAGGGCAAAAAACCAAAAAGAAUGCCUUCAGCUCGUAUACAUCUGCGCUAAAGGUGUGGGAAGAAAGUCCCUUUGUAACUGAAGGCGUCACACUUGGAGGGAAUUGACAUUCCCUAAUACAACACCUCCAAUACUGUUUGUACUCAAAACAAGAAGACCAAAAACUACUACAUGCUACACAGGGGGGAAGUGCUUUCAAGUCCCAAAUCCUGGAAAGCAAUUAUCCUAGUUCGCGAUUUAGAGUAGACAAAAGAGAAUGAAUUAAAAAAAAUCUGCUUCAAUUUCUUCCCAGAGUUGAUAUCAUCUUUUUUGGUUUCUACGAUCUUAUGGUGAAUCGAGUCCCAAAUCCUGGAAAGCAAUUAUCCUAGUUCGCGAUUUAGAGUAGACAAAAGAGAAUAAAUUAAAAAAAAUCUGCUUCAAUUUCUUCCCAGAGUUGAUAUCAUCUUUUUUGGUUUCUACCAUCUCAUGGUGAAUCCUCGCAGCAUGGUAAUUUUCAAUUUACUCUAUACAUUGACAAUAAAAUAUUAUUUCUCACUAAGGCACUAAUAUUUUAAACCAUGACAAAAUUAUGACAAGGCAAUGACCUUAUUUUGCUUCCAACCCCAAAUAUCCAUGUUCAAACCUCCAUAAAAUAAUUUCAUUAACAUAACACUCAUCAAGACUAUAGCCCCUCCUAUUUGUAAAUUGCUCAAGGAUUCACCCUUUGUUUCUAUGAAGAUCAAGUGCCCACCAGCAAUAUACCACAAGACAGCAACUAAGACUUCUCCAGUCUUCACCAUUCUAGCAUAACAUCAAUAAAGCCAUACCAUCUUCAACCUCAAAGCCUUCCAGACCUCCCUAUCGAUCAUUGCAGUCAGCAGAAAAUGAAAAUCAAAAACUGAUCCCAAAGGCAAUCCACCACCAACUUGGAUUUUUAGAAGAAAGAAACAAGAAAGGACCCACCGGAAUUUCUACAAUGUGUCCUGACACAUAGAACACAUAAGUUCCACAACUGUAAUUCUAAGAUCAGGAACCCAACUCAAGACUUCUUAAGAUGAACUUAAUAAGCAUCUUACCAAUUUCAUGAACUAAUCAAAUUAAUUUUAUAAUUUAAUACGUGAUCCCUCAACAGACCUCUGAAGCUAACCAAUACACCUUAAAACAGCCCCACACUUCGACAGAAUCAUCUAACGUAGAGCAACUGGCAGUCCAUCUAACACCUUUCUUUCAUCCUUAACUUGCUUAUCCCUCAUUACUCUCAUGACAUCAAAAAUAAUAGUAAUGCAGAAACCAACUCCUUCCCAAGGAAACAUUAACCAGGAAAACCACCAAAAAGCCAAAUGCAUAUAAAAAACACCCAUGAUCAGCAAAUGAUGCAAUUCCAACAACACAUAAUGGGGACACAAUCGAAUGAAGAAGGUAAAAAGAUCAAUCAUUCACAUGAAAAAAAGACACUUUCUAACUUCAAGUUGAAAGCAAUAAAAUCAUUAAAACCAUAUCACCAUGAAAAAAGAAAGAACUAAUACUAACUAAUACUACUUGAAGCAUUCUUAACAUGUCCCGUUACAUGAUGAUUACAUGAUAUUCUACAAGUUAAAUUUCAUCCGUUUGAUUAAAUGCUUUUUAAUAAAGACAAGCAGUCCAACUAUUGGUGCAAAGAACACCAACAAUUCCCCCGCACACAUUAUUUGGCACAGUGGAGGCAGUACAU
rnacentral:lncRNA from 1 species